rnacentral:rRNA from 1 species
UGGGGAAUAUUGCACAAUGGAGGGAACUCUGAUGCAGCGACGCCGCGUGAGUGAUGAAGGAAUUCGUUUCGUAAAACUCUGUUCUAUGGGAAGAAAAGGACUGUACCAUAGGAGAAAGCUCCGGCUAAAUACGUGCCAGCAGCCGCGGUAAUACGUAUGGAGCGAGCGUUGUCCGGAAUUAUUGGGCGUAAAGGGUGCGCAGGCGGCUUUACAAGUUGGAUGUGAAAUAUUGUGGCUCAACCACAAACGUGCAUCCAAAACUGCAAAGCUUGAGUUAAGGGGAGGUAAGUGGAAUUCCUGGUGUAGCGGUGGAAUGCGUAGAUAUCAGGAGGAAUACCGGUGGCGAAGGCGACUUACUGGACUAAAACUGACGCUCAGGCACGAAAGCGUGGGGAGCAAGCAGG